rnacentral:rRNA from 1 species
CUUGCUUGGGGUACUCGAGUGGCGAACGGGUGAGUAAUACGUGGGUAACCUGCCCUCUUCUUUGGGAUAAGCCCCGGAAACGGGGUCUAAUACCGGAUAUUCUGCUUCUGCCGCAUGGUGGGGGUUGGAAAGGUUUUUCGGUGGGGGAUGGGCCCGCGGCCUAUCAGCUUGUUGGUGGGGUGAUGGCCUACCAAGGCUUCGACGGGUAGCCGGCCUGAGAGGGUGACCGGCCACAUUGGGACUGAGAUACGGCCCAGACUCCUACGGGAGGCAGCAGUG